CUGGCUUUCAGGUUCUCAUUCUUUUGAGCGGUCUGUCCAGGGGCCAGGCUUUUAUUUCAGGUCGGAGCUGAAGUCUGUGAGUUCAAAGGGGAUUCAUUUCUGUUUUGGGAGGUUAGGGGCUGGUAGCAAGGUGGGCUACCUGGCUUGUCUCCACGUGGCCUUGGCAGCCCCGCGUCCCGAGACCUGGUGGCCCAGAAAUAGAUCUUGCCGUGUGCAGAGAGCGCCUGAUCCUCGGGAAAUCUCGGCUUCGUUUUUUGCUUGCUAGGUAGGCACCGUUAUUACCCCGGCGCCGUUUUGCCAAUCCGCUCGGGAGAUCCCGGGAAGGUUGAAGAUGAAAUGUGUCCAGGAAAGAGCUGUAGCCCUCUGUGUGCCAGCGCAAAUGUCCUGUGGAAACUCCAGAAUAUCUGUAAAGUGGCCUUGGAUUUGGACAUUCUCAACAGGAAGGCUUAAAGGCUGAUGGGACUGUAAAGGCAGAGAUGGUGCUAAGCCGUUCUGAUGUUUGGAUUUGGAUUCCUCGAUUAAAGCUGGAUUCAGUUGAUGAGAGAAACCAAGGAUGGAAUUCAAGAAGUACACACAUAGUGUUCAGGAGAGAACCAGAUUGAUACCAACGACAUUUCUGGCCUGAACUUUGAUGCAAUUGGUGCCUAGACCCAACUGUCAUCAGAGAGGCUUCCUCCAACAACUCAUGGAAACAGCCGCCAAGACCCACUGAGUUUGGGAAAUCCUGCUGAAGAACGGGAGAGAAGAUUAUGGGAGCCCAGGGGGUCAAGGACAUCAAGAACACCCACAGAAUUGUCUAACCGGACUCAUAGGAGCUCACAGUCUGAACCAACAACCAGGGAGUCUGCUUGGGACUGACCUAGGCCCUCUACACAUGAGACAGUUUGGGAGCAGAUGUCUGAUUCUUUUGCUGGCUUUUGAGACCCUAUUCCUCAUACUGUUAUCCAUGGAGGCCUGUGCUGUUCCUGAACAUAAACUGGAGAGAGUGGAUUGAUGGGAUGGGACAAACAUAAUAAAGUUAAAUUCUGUAUCUGCCAGGUGGCCUAUUUAUACUACCAUUGGCUCCGAAGCCUGACUUAGUUCUAAAAAUAGGCACAGUAUUCAGUGAGUAUAUAAUCGAGUAAUACUUUAGUGGAUUGAUCUUGGUUAGGCACUAAUUUGUUGGUCAUCAUUUUGUAAGCAUUUAAGCCAAUGGUCUUUUCUGUUUGUCUGAUCCCAGUUUUAUCAGAGCAUCUUAUGUUCUAAUGCUUCAUAAUGUGGUUGCAGGUAAAUUCUGCUCCUCACAGAGAGCCCAAGCAGUCCAUCAUACUGUUUGCCUUCUCAGGGCUUCAUGAGGAUAGGCAGCCUGUCCCCCUAGUGCUUUCUGAACUUGACCAAGAAAAUUUUAGGACAGGAGGUGGUUGAUCUUUAGAGUUACUGAAACACUCAUGUUUAGAUUUUAAAUGGCUUGUUGUUUUCCCAAGUGAUUAAUACAUUUGUUUAAAUUUAAUUUAUAUGAGUUCAGUGUUUUCGCUUGAGUGUAUGUCCACCAUUCCUGUUUGAGGUCAGAAGAGGGGGCAUAAGAGUCCGUAGAACUAAACUGGAGUUAACAGGCAGUUGUGAGCUGCCAUGCGGGUGCUGGAAAUCAAACCCAGCUGCAACCUUCUCUCUGUCCUAAUCCAUCCCUCCUUUUCCAAAGACACAGUUUCUCUAACAAGCCUGGUUGUCCUGAAACUCAGAUCUCCCUGCCUCUGUACCCCACAAUGCCCCACCCAGUCCAGUUAAUACAUUUCAAAGCAGUUUAAAAUCUUUAGUGUGAGGACAUGAAAGUUGACUCAGCAGAAUAGUGUCAUAAUCAACUUGCAAUUAGAUGAACUGAAGAGCCCCAACAGUUAGCCCCCCAAUAGUUGGAAAAUUACUAAGCUGUCCCGUCCUUGGACGUGAGCAGCUCCACUUAAACAUCUUUCCCUGGUGGUCCUCAAGGACUUGAAAAUAAUUCCCCAGACCUCAAGGUUCCAGGCCAGUCACAAAGUUCAGCCAGGGCACAGACAGUUGCCUGAGACAGAUAACGAGCCAGACAGCCAUAAGUGUACAAACGAGAUUCAUGAAGGUCUGGCACCAAUUUCCAAAUUCCCCUUGUACCCCCACCACCCUGUUUGCGGUUUCAGGCUUUAAAAACUUGCUGUGAUUUCUUGUGGGGUUCACUCCCAAGGCUGCUGAACCCCAGUGCACCAGCUUAAUAAAACCCAAGAGGGUUUUGCUUCCUGGUGGUCUUUCUGAACAAGAACACAAAGUAAACUCUCGUUGCUGUAUUGCUGUCUAUAGCAGUCAAUCCUCAUUUUAUGUCACGGGAAGCAUAUAGUUUACUUGAGAAAUUAAUGUUAACACAGCUGGGUAUUCUAUGGGGAUUUUUGAUGUUUAGUCAGGGAGACUUGCACAGAGGCUUAAUCUAGAUCAGUUUUUUAAAUUAUAAAAGCCUAGAGCCGAUGUGAAUUGGUAUGCUUUAGUAUAUGCCUAUUGGAAUAAAGGCAACGUAUGUAUUACUUGGCUAAAAGACUUUGCAAGAGUAACAUGGAAGUUAAGUGUUGAAAUUGAGUGUUUUUACUCUGAAAUUCAAAUGAGAUUGUACUUUGGUUUUUCGAGACAGGGUUUCUCAAUAGUUUUGGAGGCUGUUCUGGAGCUCACUUUGUAGACCAGGCUGGCCUUGAACUCACAGAGAUUUGCCUGCCUCUGCCUCCCAAGGAGAUUGUACUUUGUGAUCUGUGUUUGGGACAGUUAAAACUAGUCCUCAAAAGGCUCAGUUACCUUCAACAUGGUAGGUUUACCCAUGACCCCCUUAAGCUAAGGCCCUAAGCAGAUCCAGGAAGCAGAAAUAAAGCAGCUGACUCAACCUCAGACACCUAGUGGAUAAGAUUACAGAUUUGCAAUUUCAAAACCAGCUUGUCUAAGGAAAACAGUUUGGCUUCUUUCUUUGUCAUUGGCUACAGAAACCCAUUUUCGAGCAUGUGUCAUUCUGGUCAUUGACUGGAUCCUGUGCCGGAACUAGUUAUAUCUUUGUCUUUGAAUAAAGCCUGUUGUAGUUUGA